CGGACAGAGCAAUUGCCUUCUAAGCAAUCGGUCACUGGUUCGAACCCAGUACAACGCACCA
rnacentral:tRNA from 8 species